rnacentral:rRNA from 1 species
AGUGAACGCUGGCGGCAGGCCUAACACAUGCAAGUCGAACGGCAGCACAGUAAGAGCUUGCUCUUACGGGUGGCGAGUGGCGGACGGGUGAGGAAUACAUCGGAAUCUACUUUUUCGUGGGGGAUAACGUAGGGAAACUUACGCUAAUACCGCAUACGACCUACGGGUGAAAGCAAGGGAUCUUCGGACCUUGCGCGAUUGAAUGAGCCGAUGUCGGAUUAGCUAGUUGGCGGGGUAAAGGCCCACCAAGGCGACGAUCCGUAGCUGGUCUGAGAGGAUGAUCAGCCACACUGGAACUGAGACACGGUCCAGACUCCUACGGGAGGCAGCAGUGGGGAAUAUUGGACAAUGGGCGCAAGCCUGAUCCAGCCAUACCGCGUGGGUGAAGAAGGCCUUCGGGUUGUAAAGCCCUUUUGUUGGGAAAGAAAAGCAGCAGGUUAAUACCCCGCUGUUCUGACGGUACCCAAAGAAUAAGCACCGGCUAACUUCGUG